rnacentral:rRNA from 1 species
GCUCAGUAACACGUGGAUAACCUGCCCUAGGGAAGGGGAUAACCCCGGGAAACUGGGGAUAAUACCCUAUAGGUUACAGAUGCUGGAAUGCUCUGUAACCCAAAGUUCCGGCGCCCUAGGAUGGAUCUGCGGCCGAUUAGGUUGUUGUUGGGGUAAUGGCCCAACAAGCCAGUAAUCGGUACGGGUUGUGGGAGCAAGAGCCCGGAGUUGGAUUCUGAGACACGAAUCCAGGCCCUACGGGGCGCAGCAGGCGCGAAAACUUUACAAUGCGGGCAACCGUGAUAAGGGAACCUCGAGUGCCUGUAAAUGCAGGCUGUUUAGGUGUUUAAAACGCGMCUGGAGAAAGGGCCGGGCAAGACCGGUGCCAGCCGCCGCGGUAAUACCGGCGGCUCGAGUGGUGGCCACUUUUAUUGGGCUUAAAGCGUUCGUAGCUGGGUUGUUAAGUCUCUUGGGAAAUCUGGCGGCUUAACCGUCAGGCGUCUAAGGGAUACUGGCAAUCUUGGAACCGGGAGAGGUGAGGGGUACUUCGGGGGUAGGAGUGAAAUCCUGUAAUCCUCGAGGGACCACCUGUGGCGAAGGCGCCUCACCAGAACGGCUUCGACAGUGAGGGACGAAAGCUGGGGGAGCAAACCGGAUUAGAUACCCGGGUAGUCCCAGCCGUAAACUAUGCGCGUUAGGUGUUUCGUGACCACGAGUUACCGAGGUGCCGAAGGGAAACCGUGAAACGUGCCGCCCKGGAA